rnacentral:rRNA from 1 species
UUAAGCGACUAAGCGUACACGGUGGAUGCCCUGGCAGUCAGAGGCGAUGAAGGACGUGCUAAUCUGCGAAAAGCGUCGGUAAGGUGAUAUGAACCGUUACAGCCGGCGAUGUCCGAAUGGGGAAACCCAGUGUGAUUCGUCACACUAUCGUUAACUGAAUACAUAGGUUAACGAGGCGAACCGGGGGAACUGAAACAUCUAAGUACCCCGAGGAAAAGAAAUCAACCGAGAUUCCCCCAGUAGCGGCGAGCGAACGGGGAGCAGCCCAGAGUCUGAAUCAGCUUGUGUGUUAGUGGAACGGUCUGGAAAGUCCGACGGUACAGGGUGAUAGUCCCGUACACCAAAAUACACAGGUUGUGAACUCGAAGAGUAGGGCGGGACACGUGGUAUCCUGUCUGAAUAUGGGGGGACCAUCCUCCAAGGCUAAAUACUCCUGACUGACCGAUAGUGAACCAGUACCGUGAGGGAAAGGCGAAAAGAACCCCGGCGAGGGGAGUGAAAAAGAACCUGAAACCGUGUACGUACAAGCAGUGGGAGCACCUUCGGGUGUGACUGCGUACCUUUUGUAUAAUGGGUCAGCGACUUAUAUUCUGUAGCAAGGUUAACCGUAUAGGGGAGCCGCAGGGAAACCGAGUCUUAACUGGGCGUUAAGUUGCAGGGUAUAGACCCGAAACCCGGUGAUCUAGCCAUGGGCAGGUUGAAGGUUGGGUAACACUAACUGGAGGACCGAACCGACUAAUGUUGAAAAAUUAGCGGAUGACUUGUGGCUGGGGGUGAAAGGCCAAUCAAACCGGGAGAUAGCUGGUUCUCCCCGAAAGCUAUUUAGGUAGCGCCUCGUGAACUCAUCUUCGGGGGUAGAGCACUGUUUCGGCUAGGGGGUCAUCCCGACUUACCAACCCGAUGCAAACUACGAAUACCGAAGAAUGUUAUCACGGGAGACACACGGCGGGUGCUAACGUCCGUCGUGAAGAGGGAAACAACCCAGACCGCCAGCUAAGGUCCCAAAGUCAUGGUUAAGUGGGAAACGAUGUGGGAAGGCACAGACAGCCAGGAUGUUGGCUUAGAAGCAGCCAUCAUUUAAAGAAAGCGUAAUAGCUCACUGGUCGAGUCGGCCUGCGCGGAAGAUGUAACGGGGCUAAACCAUGCACCGAAGCUGCGGCAGCGACACUAUGUGUUGUUGGGUAGGGGAGCGUUCUGUAAGCCUGCGAAGGUGGCCUGUGAGGGCUGCUGGAGGUAUCAGAAGUGCGAAUGCUGACAUAAGUAACGAUAAAGCGGGUGAAAAGCCCGCUCGCCGGAAGACCAAGGGUUCCUGUCCAACGUUAAUCGGGGCAGGGUGAGUCGACCCCUAAGGCGAGGCCGAAAGGCGUAGUCGAUGGGAAACAGGUUAAUAUUCCUGUACUUGGUGUUACUGCGAAGGGGGGACGGAGAAGGCUAUGUUAGCCGGGCGACGGUUGUCCCGGUUUAAGCAUGUAGGCGGAGGUUCCAGGUAAAUCCGGUACCUUUUAACGCUGAGGUGUGAUGACGAGGCACUACGGUGCUGAAGUAACAAAUGCCCUGCUUCCAGGAAAAGCCUCUAAGCAUCAGGUAACAUCAAAUCGUACCCCAAACCGACACAGGUGGUCAGGUAGAGAAUACCAAGGCGCUUGAGAGAACUCGGGUGAAGGAACUAGGCAAAAUGGUGCCGUAACUUCGGGAGAAGGCACGCUGGUGUGUAGGUGAAGUCCCUGCGGAUGGAGCUGAGACCAGUCGAAGAUACCAGCUGGCUGCAACUGUUUAUUAAAAACACAGCACUGUGCAAACACGAAAGUGGACGUAUACGGUGUGACGCCUGCCCGGUGCCGGAAGGUUAAUUGAUGGGGUUAUCCGUAAGGAGAAGCUCUUGAUCGAAGCCCCGGUAAACGGCGGCCGUAACUAUAACGGUCCUAAGGUAGCGAAAUUCCUUGUCGGGUAAGUUCCGACCUGCACGAAUGGCGUAAUGAUGGCCAGGCUGUCUCCACCCGAGACUCAGUGAAAUUGAACUCGCUGUGAAGAUGCAGUGUACCCGCGGCAAGACGGAAAGACCCCGUGAACCUUUACUAUAGCUUGACACUGAACAUUGAGCCUUGAUGUGUAGGAUAGGUGGGAGGCUUUGAAGCGUGGACGCCAGUCUGCGUGGAGCCAACCUUGAAAUACCACCCUUUAAUGUUUGAUGUUCUAACGU